rnacentral:tRNA from 1 species
GGUCUGUUAGCUCAGUGGGCAGAGCGUGGUGCUGAUAACGCCAAGGCUGUGAGUUCGACCCUCGCACGGACCA